rnacentral:rRNA from 1 species
AUUGAACGCUGGCGGCAUGCCUUACACAUGCAAGUCGAACGGUAACAGGUCUUCGGAUGCUGACGAGUGGCGAACGGGUGAGUAAUACAUCGGAACGUGCCUAGUAGUGGGGGAUAACUACUCGAAAGAGUGGCUAAUACCGCAUGAGAUCUACGGAUGAAAGCAGGGGAUCGCAAGAACUUGUGCUACUAGAGCGGCCGAUGGCAGAUUAGGUAGUUGGUGGGAUAAAAGCUUACCAAGCCGACGAUCUGUAGCUGGUCUGAGAGGACGAUCAGCCACACUGGGACUGAGACACGGCCCAGACUCCUACGGGAGGCAGCAGUGGGGAAUUUUGGACAAUGGGCGCAAGCCUGAUCCAGCAAUGCCGCGUGCAGGAUGAAGGCCUUCGGGUUGUAAACUGCUUUUGUACGGAACGAAAAGCCCUGGGUUAAUACCCUGGGGUCAUGACGGUACCGUAAGAAUAAGCACCGGCCAACUACGUGCCAGCCGCCGCAGUAAAAC